AAUAAAGAGCACCUAUGUACUGACUCUCUGUUCUGCUCCAGGGGCUUCAGGGCCAUACUCCUUCUGUACUGACUCCAGCCCUAUGUGGUAGAUGCUAAUACACCCUAAGAAAGCUGGGGACCAUGGAAGCUGCCACCAUCCCAACAGCCCUGGUUGAUAUUGAGAUCUCUGCAUCUUCAGGUUAGUUUUGCUUUGCCCUGGAUGGGACUGCUUAGUCGGCAAAGACCUGAAUACCCGAAAAAGGAAGAGAAGUUCUGUGUCUGGCAAUAAAAGGACCAGAGGAAGAUGAUGGCGAAGUCCGGAAGCAACACAAAAAGACUCCUGGGGAAAAAAGGAUGCUGCUCUAACUCUGGGAGUUUGGCUGAUAUGUGAGACCUGGCUCUCUCGGGAUGACAUGGAAGGUGACCCUCUCAGGCUCUGCCUACUACCCACCAGUCUUCUGCCCCCAUCUCUAGCCUCCUUCCUGCCCUCUCUUGUGAGCCAAGCGUGCACAGAUCGCAGAGAUGUGGCAGACCGAAUGGCCCAUCACUCAGAAGUCAUGUGCACAGCCGUGGAGACCCAGUGUGGAGAAUCACUUCUGCAGGGACACAAAAACGCGCUGCCCAGGGCUAGACAGAGGCUGGACAGGAGACUUGCCUCAGAGACAACUGCACCAAGUCUGCUGCCACCGCUGUACACACUGGGCAUUGAGCUCUGUUUGAGAGAGGCCCUACAGCUAAGACUGGAGUAGCCCUGGCCCAGCAGCACAGAGACUGCCUUUCUCCCCACAACCCCUGUUUUCAUCAAGCCACAUAGUGAAAAGCCUUCAGUGCUAUUCCACACUGCUUACCUUUGAUACUGUUCGAUGUUUCUUUCAGCAGCUAGAUGCACUUUUAAUUAAUAACGGCUAAAACAGUUGAUUUCUUUUCUAUCUCUUCAGAAUUAUAGGUAACACUGCAAAGGCUAUUGCUCAUGGAUCUUUUUUUUUUUUUUUAACUAGGGUUACCUCAUAAAUUACUUUAUUCUGAAGGAAAUGGUCCAAGGCUUUAGUGGAUGCUUUCUGCAUGACUUUUCCCUGUUCAUUGGUUCUCCACAUCAGUCCUCAUUGAUAUUCUCAAUAACCCAAAGCCUG
rnacentral:lncRNA from 1 species